GGCGGCCGCAGCGGUGCCGGCGACUCCCGCGUGCUGCAGGAGCUGCAGGAGCGACCGAGCCAGCGGCAUCAGAUGCUGUACCUGCGGCAGAAAGACGCUAAUGAACUGAAGACGAUCCUUCGAGAGCUAAAGUACAGAAUUGGCAUCCAGUCGGCCAAGUUACUUCGGCAUCUGAAGCAGAAAGAUAGGCUUCUGCAUAAAGUGCAGAGGAACUGUGAUAUUGUGACUGCCUGCUUGCAGGCUGUGUCACAGAAGAGAACAUGGCAGAACAGUAUGCUCAGACAGUCUCGUGCUGUUGCCAGGCUGGAAUGCUGGAAUGCAGUGGCGCAAUCCUGGCUCACUCAACCUCUGCCUCCCUGGUUCAAGUGAUUCUCCUGCCUCAGCCUCACAAGUAGCUGGGAUUACAGGCACAUGCCACCACGCCCAGCUAGUAUUUGUAUUUUUAGUAGAGACGGGGUUUCACCAUGUUGGCCAGGAUGGUCUUGAUCUCCUGACCUCGUGAUCUGCCCGCCUCAGCCUCCCAAAGUGCUGGGAUUACAGGCGUGAGCCACUGCACCUGGCCAACUGUAAACUCUUUGAGGGUAGCGUAUGUACUG
rnacentral:sRNA from 1 species